UUGAACGCUGGCGGCAUGCUUUACACAUGCAAGUCGAACGGUAACAGGCCGCAAGGUGCUGACGAGUGGCGAACGGGUGAGUAAUGCAUCGGAACGUGCCCAGUCGUGGGGGAUAACUACUCGAAAGAGUAGCUAAUACCGCAUACGAUCUAUGGAUGAAAGCGGGGGACCGUAAGGCCUCGCGCGAUUGGAGCGGCCGAUGUCAGAUUAGGUAGUUGGUGGGGUAAAGGCUCACCAAGCCAACGACCUGUAGCUGGUCUGAGAGGACGACCAGCCACACUGGGACUGAGACACGGCCCAGACUCCUACGGGAGGCAGCAGUGGGGAAUUUUGGACAAUGGGCGCAAGCCUGAUCCAGCAAUGCCGCGUGCAGGAAGAAGGCCUUCGGGUUGUAAACUGCUUUUGUACGGAACGAAACGGCUCUGGUUAAUACCCGGGGCUAAUGACGGUACCGUAAGAAUAAGCACCGGCUAACUACGU
rnacentral:rRNA from 1 species